UUACUUACCUAGUGCGAGGGUAACCGUGAUCAAGAAGACGGUUCCCUUAGUUGGAGACUUCGUCAUUGCACUUCUAGGCGGAGUUGAAGGCUACGAUUUACUCCAAAUGUGGGUAAUUCGAGCAUAUAAUUUCUGAUAGUUGGGAUUUGCGUACGCGCAAAUCCCUU